rnacentral:rRNA from 1 species
CAGCCAGUUGGUAGGGUAAAGGCCUACCAAAGCAAAGAUCGGUAGCCGGCCUGAGAGGGCACACGGCCACACUGGCACUGAGACACGGGCCAGACUCCUACGGGAGGCAGCAGUGGGGAAUCUUGCACAAUGGGGGAAACCCUGAUGCAGCGACGCCGCGUGAACGAUGAAGCCCUUCGGGGUGUAAAGUUCUUUCGGCAGGGAAGAUGAUGACGGUACCUGCAGAAGCAGCUGCGGCUAACUACGUGCCAGCAGCCGCGGUAAUACGUAGGCAGCGAGCGUUGUUCGGAGUUACUGGGCGUAAAGGGUGUGUAGGCGGCUUUCUAAGUUUGGUGUGAAAUCUCCCGGCUCAACCGGGAGGGUGCGCCGAAAACUGGGAGGCUAGAGUGUGGGAUGGGAGAGUAGAAUUCCUGGUGUAGCGGUGAAAUGCGUAGAUAUCAGGAGGAAUACCGGUGGUGUAGACGGCUCUCUGGACCGCAACUGACGCUGAGACACGAAAGCGUGGGUAGCAAA